GGAGAAGUACUCAAGUGGAUCAAGAGGCAGCACUGGAAAUGCUGUAGGGGGCGCAAGUCCCGCGUGGGUUCGAAUCCCACCUUCUCCG
rnacentral:tRNA from 4 species